rnacentral:rRNA from 1 species
UGCAAAUGUGAGACCGCAUCUCCACGCAAGUGGUGAUCUUCAAUCCGUACACGGCUCCUUACCCAGCUUCCAAACGGCACUCCUGGUUUUCCUCUAUAGGGAUACCAGAGUCAAAGGCAGUAAUAAUACCCGCUCUCUCAAGCGGCCAGGUUAAACUGGUCGUGAGUAAGGAGAUGUCUAUGAAUAGCGCUCCUUUAAGACUGUGAGGCGACUCGCAGUGUGCUUACCCAAUCUAACGGGGACUCGAGACGGUAUUGCUAUUUAUCAGUCUGUAGGGAGGCUCAGUUCCUCUCCAGACAACUACGAGUACGGGGGAUUGGUGUUCAAAUCCGGAGAAGGAGCCUUAGAAACGGCUACUGGUACUAAGGUGUACAGCAGGCGCGAAACUUGCCCAAUGGUAGCUCUCUACCGAGGCAGUGACAAGAAAUAAGCACCUUGCUCUCUUUGAGCAAGGGUACUAUGCUACUUUGUAGCUGGUUUACAAUGGUGGAGUCGUAACAGCGCUCCAGAGGAACAAUCAGAGGGAAAGUCAGGUGCCAGCAUCCGCGGUAAUACCUGCUCUGAGAGUUAAUGAUAACGUUGCUGCGGUUAAAACGUUCGUAGCUCAUUUAGGGACUGGGUGUUCAAUGCCAGGUAGAGUCCGUGUCUUCAAAGGUAGUCUUAACUACUUUUGAGGGCAGUAACUUCGGUCACGCUCACUUCGGUGGGUUGAGAUUCUUCCUAUAGUAGCGCUUUAUUGGUAACCUCUCUUCUCAUAGAGGGGACUCUGAUAUUGUUGCUAUGGUGUUGACAAACUGUCUAACCUUUUUAACCUGUGAGCAAAUCAGACAGAUCAAGUGACGAUUGGUUGGGAGCCUUACUCUUCGAGUGAAGCUCCCUAUGAUGUAAUAUGUUCAAGCACAGAACCUCUUAGACUAGCAGCCCCGUGCUGCUGGAAGAGGAAACAAGACCAGACUCAAGUGAACGGUACCUACCGAUCAGGGGUAAAAUCCGUACAGUCAGUAGAGACCAACAGAGGCGAAAGCUGUUCACUAGGGCUGAUCUAUUAGCGAGGGUCGAGAGUCAGGGGAGCAAAGAUGAUUAGAUACCGUCGUAGUCCUGACCGUAAACGAUCCAAGCAAGUGUUGAGGUUGAGCCUCUCGCCAGAUCAACUUUAAAACCCCGGGAAACCUAUAGCCUUCAUGGUCCGGGGGGAGUAUGUUCGCAAGGAUGAAACUUAAAGGAAUUGACGGAAACUUACCACCAGGAGUGGAUUCUGCGGCUUAAUUCGACUCAACGCGUGGAAACUUACCAGGUCCAGACUGCAGGAAGAUUGACAGGCUACAGACCUUUCUUGAUUGGCAAAACAGUGGUGCAUGGUCGUUCUAAGUUCGUGGAUUGGUCUGUCUGCUUAAUUGCGAUAACGAGCGAGAUCUUAGUUGCUACUUGGUAGCUGUUAUCCUCACGGAUACAGGAACAAAGGUCCUCAGAGCUGGCUUCGGCUGGUUUUGAGGUAACCUUCCUCAUAGCAAGACCUCAGGCGAUCUAUUGCAGUCUUAGGGAUGGUGAAGGCCAGAACAGAUCCGUUAUGCCCUUAGAUGUUCUGGGCGGCACGCGUAAUACAAUGCUACAACCAGUAGGCCUGUACUGCGUCCUCUUUGAGGACCAGAGCAUACCAAACUGUAAACGAUACGGCAAACCAACCAAUUCGUUCGUAAAUCUGGGAUCGUGGGUUGCAAGUCCCACGUGAACCAGGAAUUCCUAGUAAGCGAAGGUCAACAUCCUCCAUUGAAUACGUCACUGAGUUUUGUACACACCGCCCGUCGCUCCUACCAAUUGAGAGCACGGAUAAGGUGGAGAGAAGCUGGCUUCGGCUGGCUGAACUCCUCCAAAUCUCUACCCUUGUA